UUUGGUGACUAUUGCAUAGGGGUCCACCUCUUCCCAUUCCGAACAGAGAAGUUAAGCCCUAUAGCGCUGAUGGUACUGGUUUUCCGGGAGAGUAAGUCGUUGCCUUUU
rnacentral:rRNA from 1 species